UCUAAUUUCGAUUUUCGAACGACAUCGCAAACGUCGCUCGACUGAACUGACAGCUGUUAAUGUAAGAUUCAUGUUCGUCGUUUCAAGGAGGUUUAGAUUUUCUGGAGGCUCUAGUUGUAUGUGAACUUGAAUAGAACCAUAAAACGACUGAGAAGUUGCUUUGUUUAGUGCCGAGGAAGGAAGCUGAUUUCUGUAACGAUACGACCACACAAUCGCCCGUGACAAUGUCGCUAAAACCGAAGCAGGUGAACUUCGAUAAUGUGUGGCAGGAGCUGAAGGAGACCGUGAAACAGGUGCUCACGAUGGCCAAUGUGCCAACGAGUGUGUGGCAGGAUCGCUUCAGUGAUGUGUACUCGCUUUGCGUUGCAUUCCCUGAACCGCUGGCCGAUAAGCUCUACUUUGAGACAAAACAGUUUCUGGAGAAUCAUGUGCAGAACAUGCUAGCUACACAGGUCGCCCCGCCAGAUCGCAAUUCGUCCGAGAGGAAAAAUAUCCUUAUGAACUACUACAAAGCUUGGUCGGAGUAUAGCAAAGGAAUUGAAUAUCUUAACAAUUUGUAUUCAUAUCUAAACCAGCAACACAUCAAAAAACAGAAAAUUUCAGAUGCUGAUAUUAUGUACGGAAACGCUUCGCCUGAUAACCAGGAACUCAUGGAAAUCGGUGAAUUAGGCUUGGAUAUAUGGCGAAUUUAUAUGAUACAAUCCUUGGGCGAUGAAUUAGUCGCCCAUACGUUGGAGGGCAUCAAAGAGGACAGAAUGAAUGGCAUAGACUCUAAAUAUGUAGAAGUGAUUCACGGAGUUAUUCAGAGUUUUGUGCAAGUUCAGGGCUAUAAGAAGAAAGGGAAUCUUAAACUGUACCAGGAUCUGUUUGAAACGCCAAUGUUAAACGAGAGCGGAAAACACUAUCGCAAUGAGGCAGCUAAAUUACUUCAAAGGUGCUCGGUUAGUGAGUAUAUGGAGGAGGUUAUUAAGAUUUUGAGUGACGAAAAUCGGAGAGCUCAACGAUUUCUGGAUUCAAGUUCAGUAACGAAACUACGUAAAGAAUGUGAAGAACGGUUCAUAAACGACCACCUCGACUUCCUUUAUUCGGAAUGCAAAGAAAUGGUAUCACAAGAAAAACGAAAGGAUCUUCGAAACAUGUACAUUAUCCUAAAACCAAUACCCGAUCGGUUGAAGGAUUUGCUCAAACAGACUUUCCUUGAUCACAUCAAGAACGAGGGAAUCGAAACUAUAUCAACACUCAAAGGUGAAAACAUCCACAUUCAGUUUGUGGAGAACAUGCUGAAAGUACAUCAAAAAUAUCAGAAGCUGAUCGCUGAUGUUUUCGAGAAUGAUUCGUUGUUUUUAAGUGCUUUGGAUAAAGCUUGUGCGAGUGUAGUGAAUAAACGAAUCAACGAACGGCAACCGUGCCGUAGUGCAGAGCUGGUGGCCAAAUAUUGUGAUAGUUUAUUGAGAAAAUCGAAAACAACGGAAAGUGAGAUUGACACGAAAUUAACAAAUAGUAUAACAAUUUUCAAGUACAUUGAGGAUAAGGAUGUUUUCCAAAAGUUCUACAGUCGUAUGCUAGCUAAAAGAUUAAUUCACGAACAGUCCCAGAGUAUGGAAGCAGAAGAAGCUAUGAUAAAUAGACUUAAGCAAGCCUGUGGGUAUGAGUUUACCAAUAAGUUACAUAGAAUGUUCACAGAUAUCUCGCUGUCCGCCGACUUGAAUAAUAAAUUUAACAGUCACUUAAAGGAUGAAAACAUUGAAAUAGGUAUAAAUUUAUCAAUUAAGGUUUUACAAGCAGGAGCUUGGCCACUGGGACCCACGCAAGCCGCAAUACCCUUUGCAGUACCCCAAGAAUUCGAGAAGUCUAUUAGAAUGUUUGAAAACUUCUACCACACAUCGUUCAGCGGGCGCAAAUUGGCUUGGUUGCAUCAUCUGUGUCAUGGCGAGUUGAAAAUGUCGUAUUUAAAAAAAUCAUAUAUAGUCACGAUGCAAACGUAUCAAAUGGCAAUGCUCUUGCUAUUCGAGAGCUGUGACUCACUAACCUGCAAAGAGAUUCAGGAAACGUUACAAUUGAACGAUGAAACCUUCCAGAAACACAUGCAAUCUCUAAUUGAGUCCAAGCUGCUUACAUCAAGCACGGAGAAUUUCGAACGCGACACUGAGAUACGAUUGAACUUUGAUUACUCGAAUAAGAGGACGAAGUUCAAAAUCAGUGCAGCAUUACAACGUGAAACUCCACAGGAGGUCGAGCAUACAAUGAACGCAGUAGAUGAGGAUCGAAAAUUAUACUUACAAGCGGCCAUUGUAAGGAUCAUGAAGUCACGAAAAAUACUGAGGCACAACGCCCUCAUUCAAGAGAUUCUAUCCCAGUCAAAAGUGAGCUUUACACCAAGUAUUUCGAUGAUUAAAAAAUGCAUCGAAUCGCUAAUUGACAAACAAUACAUUGAGCGAACACCAAACUCGGGCGAUGAAUAUAGUUAUGUAGCGUAGUUUCAAGUAAGAGACAUUCAAUGUUUACGAGACAUAAUGACACAACAGAACGAUCAAGACCAGAAUCGAAGCACGUCUCGUUAAGGUUCUAAACGAAGGAAUUUUUCAGUGCUCUUUUACAAUAACGUUGAUACUCAUUUAGUAUCUUAAAGCCGCAAACAAGAACUAUCAUAGAUACGAACUCGAGUACUGCACGCAACUUGGGAUGUUUUAUUUGACAGGAUAUUGUCGUUUGAUUUCGUACAGAUAAUACUGAAUCUCAAUAGGCUACCCCCCCGUUUAACGCUAAUAAAAAAAAAAGAAGAAAUCUACAGGAAUUUUUCAUUUCUGUGUUAUGUUUUGCUAGCAUUCAUGAACUAGAUGAGAAGAUGUAAUAUUUUCUUUUGUUUUUGUUUUUUUUUUAAAUUUUUCAAGUGGACAUUUUAAUUAAUUACAAAAUAUAUCUCUUGAGGAUCUCUCGAUGGUAAUUAGAUUUUGUAGAAAACUUUACCUGAAUCAUGUACUUGCAAAUAAUGAAAACAGACUUGCUCUGUGUGCAUUCUGAGUGGAUACUUUCAUUAAAAAUGAUUUUUAGCAAUGUA